rnacentral:tRNA from 1 species
ACGGCGUUAGCUCAAUUGGUAGAGUAGCGGUCUCCAAAACCGUUGGUUGUAGGUUCAAGUCCUACACGCCGUGCCA